UCACUACCCCCUUCGUCCCAAAAUUCUUGUCUUAAAUUUUUCUACGUAUGAAUGUAUCUAGUCACGUUUUAGUAUUUACAUACAUCCAUUUCUAGACAAACUUAAAACAAGAAUUAUAGGACGGAGGGAGUACUUC
rfam:Hordeum vulgare subsp. vulgare, WGS project CAJW01000000 data, contig: morex_contig_38618